rnacentral:misc_RNA from 1 species
GUUUAAACCAUCUUUGAUUUUGUAGAUGCAUACAAGUAUGAGUUUUAAUUUGGCAGUACAUAUUAAUAUAUUACAUGUCAUUAUUCAUCAUUCAUUUUAGGUUGACAAAAAGAUUGUGUAACAGACAGCAAAGUUUCAACACUAAAAUUCCCACAAUGGUGAUGUACAACCAGUAUCAUGAAGAAACGUUCUGGACUCGAAGUUGAAUUCAUUUUCAAUCUCCGAUAAGCCAUCAGCUAUUUGUGCCAUGUCUAAAAUAUCAGAUUCUGCUCUCAAGUAGUCAAUUCCCCUGCUGCCAAAUUCUGGUGCAAAAUCAUCUUGUUUCACUUCCGUUUCUGAUUUUUUAUUCACAUCUUUCUCAUUGUCAUCCUUUUCCAUUAACUUUUUAAGUCUCUGCAGCUGGAUGAGGAGGGAUUCAUGCUCUUUUUUGAGUAAUUCAUACUUGGAACCUAAGUUGUCAUAACUGAUUUGAAGCAUUCUAUACUCCAAUUCAAGUUGCUUCGAUUUCGAUCUAGCUCUCUUGUUCUGAAACCAUAUAGCUACUUGUCUUGGCUGCAGUCCAAGCCUUUUAGCCAGUUGCUGUUUUGUCCUCAAUUCAGGCCUUGACUCUGUCUCAAACAUGUUUUCUAAUGACUUAAUCUGCUCAUCAUUGAACCUUCUUCUCAUGUUGUCGUUGCACUUACUUGACAUGAUUGAUUCACCCCAAAUCAUGUCUGAGUUUGUUGGAGCCAUUUUCAGUUCUGC